rnacentral:rRNA from 1 species
GACGAACGCUGGCGGCGUGCUUAACACAUGCAAGUCGAACGGAAAGGCCCUGCUUUUGUGGGGUGCUCGAGUGGCGAACGGGUGAGUAACACGUGAGUAACCUGCCCUUGACUUUGGGAUAACUUCAGGAAACUGGGGCUAAUACCGGAUAGGAGCUCCUGCUGCAUGGUGGGGGUUGGAAAGUUUCGGCGGUUGGGGAUGGACUCGCGGCUUAUCAGCUUGUUGGUGGGGUAGUGGCUUACCAAGGCUUUGACGGGUAGCCGGCCUGAGAGGGUGACCGGCCAAAUUGGGACUGAGAUACGGCCCAGACCCCUACGGGGGGAAGCAGUGGGGAAUAUUGCAAAAUGGGCGGAAGCCUGAUGCAGCAACGCCGGGUGGGGGAUGGCGGCCUUCGGGUUGUAAACCGCUUUCGCCUGUGACGAAGGGGGAGGGACGGUAAUGGGUAAAGAAGCCCCGGCAAACUACGU